rnacentral:rRNA from 1 species
UACGAAGGUGGCAAGCGUUGUUCGGAUUUACUGGGCGUACAGGGAGCGUAGGCGGUUGGAUAAGCCCUCCGUGAAAUCUCCAGGCUUAACCUGGAAAGUGCAGAGGGACUGUUCAGCUAGAGGAUGGGAGAGGAGCGCGGAAUUCCCGGUGUAGCGGUGAAAUGCGCAGAUAUCAGGAGGAACACCGGUGGCGAAGGCGGGUCUCUGGGCCGAUACUGACGCUGGAGGAGCGAAAGCGUUGGGGAGCGAACAGG